UAGCUCCCCCAGGGAUAGGAAGUGCAGC
rnacentral:piRNA from 1 species